rnacentral:rRNA from 1 species
CCGGCGCACGGGUGAGUAACACGUAUCCAACCUGCCGUCUACUCUUGGACAGCCUUCUGAAAGGAAGAUUAAUACAAGAUGGCAUCAUGAGUCCGCAUGUUCACAUGAUUAAAGGUAUUCCGGUAGACGAUGGGGAUGCGUUCCAUUAGAUAGUAGGCGGGGUAACGGCCCACCUAGUCUUCGAUGGAUAGGGGUUCUGAGAGGAAGGUCCCCCACGUUGGAACUGAGACACGGUCCAA